GUUGCAAUAGUAUGAGCAUAGAUGUUAUUAAAUUUUGGAAUAAAAGAAAACUCAACCUUCUGGUAUUUGCGUUUCUUGCUCUGAAUAUCUCUGAUUAUUGAUCCUAUGACCGAUCUAUCAAUAAUAGAAUUUUGGCACUUCUUGAUAACCGUUUUUGAAUCUCCCAUAACUUCAAGUAUGUUGAAUCCCAGACUAAUACCUAGUUUUACUGCUUGUAAUCCUGCAUAUGCCUCUGCUGUAAAUGGGUCUUCUAUGUUGGAGUGAUGAAUUGCCUGUGACGCUAGGAUUUCUCCUUCCCCAUUCCAUGCUAUUAGUCCCGAUGCUGAUCUGAACGUCUGACGGUCAAAAGCUGCGUCGAAAUGAACUGUUGCCCUUCCCCUUUUGAACACCUGGUGACACUUAUCCGAAGAGUGUAAAUUAAUUUCUAUUGAACCAAAUAAACCAGAGACCACAACAGAAUAUUUGAAGUUGCUCAACAUUUCCUUGUCCAAAGAUUCCAGGCACUGUUGAAAGAUAUGGUAACUGUUUUCUUCUUCACAAUCACACCUGGGACACUGAGUAUUCACUACUACCCGCUUGAUUUUGAGGUUGCAAAAGGAUGGGAUAAAGUUCCAUGAGAUCUUCCAAAUCAUCAUUUUUAUCUUAGAUGGGAUAUGUAUAUUCCAUAGCUUUCUGUAGAAAUUUGUAGUUUCGGUAUGUAAAAUUAAUUCAUUAGGAUCCAAUAAACACUCAUAUAAUAGUUUAUAGGCGCUCCUCACUGAAAACUCCCCGGUCGGCUCCCCUUUCCAAACUUGAAAGUCGUCAUGUUCCGUCUCCGUCAGUGGUAUCUUCAAAACUUUCUCAGCAAUCUCCGAUCGAAAGAUCAUCACAAACUGAAAUUUUAUCACCUCUCCCCACCCUCCAGCAAAUACCUUUUUCAAGCAGACCUUUCGCAUACCAUACACUCUUCCAGGUAAACGACGGUAAAUUCCCCAAUCUAGCUUUAUAAAAGUCUGAAUCGGGAUAAUACUUAGCUUUCAAAACACGCGCCAAUAAUGAAUUUGGAUAAUUAACAAGACGCCAACCUUGUUUCGCUAAUAAUGCAAUAUUAAAUUUCGCAAAAUUAUGAAAACCAAGGCCUCCAUCUUCUUUUAACAAACAUAAAUUCUCCCAAGUGCACCAAUGUAUACUCUUCCUAUUCAUUCUCUUCCUCCACCAGAAAUUAGCAACAAUUCUUUCCAAAUCUGCGCAAAGGGUCUUAGGGAGAAGAAAACAACUCAUCGAAUAAGUUGGAAUAGCUUGUAGAACCGAUUUGAUAAACACUUCUUUCCCCUCUUGGGAGAGAAACCUAAUACUCCAAUUGUCAAUCCUUUGAUUGAGUCUAUCCUUCAAACUUUGAAAAGAUGACUUCUUCCGUUUCCCCACCAAACUAGGCAACCCUAGAUACCGUUCAAUAUCAUUAGCUCUUCUAACUCGAAGGAUCCUUGUGAUGUCACCCCUUACCCCCUCUUCUGUAUUUGUACUGAAAAAGAUUGCUGAUUUUUCAUAAUUUACA